rnacentral:rRNA from 1 species
CCUACGGGAGGCAGCAGUGAGGAAUAUUGGUCAAUGGGCGAGAGCCUGAACCAGCCAAGUCGCGUGAAGGAUGACGGCCCUACGGGUUGUAAACUUCUUUUGUCAGGGAGCAAUUGGGUCCACGCGUGGGCUGAGCGAGAGUACCUGCAGAAAAAGCAGCGGCUAACUCCGUGCCAGCAGCCGCGGGAAGACGGAGGAUGCGAGCGUUGUCCGGAUUUAUUGGGUUUAAAGGGUUCGUACGCGGUAUAUCAAGUCAGCGGUAAACAUUCGGGGCUCAACCCCGUCGUGCCGUUGAAACUGAUGUUCUGGUGUGGGCGAGAAUGAUGCGGAAUGCGUGGUGUAGCGGUGAAAUGCAUAGAUAUCACGCAGAACUCCGAUUGCGAAGGCAGCAUACCGGCGCCCAACUGACGCUGCAGCACGAAAGCGUGGGUAUCGAACAGGAUUAGAUACCCGGGUAGUC